UUCUGUGGGCUCAUUCAAUGUCGGAAGCCAGCAUUCUGCACACCACCGCCGAGGCCUUCGGCUUCCGAAGCUGGUUCGAGACUGAGGAAUAGCAGUGGGAUUAGGCUAGAACUCUGUCCCUUCUUACAGCCUUGUGGAAUUGAUCAGGACCAUGUCCUUGGUCAGCUAACCCACACCCCGUGACCCAGGGACAGAGGAAGAGAUGGCAGGGUAGAGAUCCUUGGAUUUGUUCUUUCGGAUUUUGGAUUUUGACCUGAAUUUCUUUGUCAAUCCUCAUUCCAGAUCCAGGUAGGAGUGGUUGUACUCUUGGAUAUCUCCAAGAGCGGCUUCAAGAGUCGACUACACCAGUAGUGCCUACAGCUGGGAAGUUUAUGCCAGUGGAAGAAUCUGUAGUGUCUCACAGAUUAUGCGGCUACGUAUUUCUCAUUGCCCAUAUGCAACGUUAAGGAAAGGAAGGGAGGAGAAUUGCUUAAAUAAUGAAGACUGACCAUCCAAUGGAGAAGUUGGUAUGGCUGGGCCAAUGAUGGCAAAGGUUGUUUGGCGGCACCAACUUUGAAGCCUUUUGAAGAUAAAUGAAAACUCCCUGAAAGGCUGGACGCCAUAGUGGUCAAAGAAGGAAGAGACUCAGUGGUCUUUUCUUUUUCUUUCAUUUUUCAAACAAAGAAGCUAAAUGAGACCAUUAAGCCCAGAGGAGAAUGAGUUCCUUGCAGAACUUCUCAAGGCUUGGUGGAGAGAUUUACGUAAACAAACUCUUCGGUUCCUCCUUUGGUAGCCUUGACCCCAAGAGUGGACAUGGUGGUGACCGCACGGCUUUCUGUCCUCUCCGUCACCACAGAAGGCGCAGCUGUGCUCAGCAAGACCUCGUGAACUGGAGGAAAAUUAAGAGAGAAAUGCUCCAUGGUGUAUUCUCAUACCUGUCAUAAAUUGGCCUCAUUAGGGGCCACCGUCCAGGGGAGAAAACCCAGCAUCUGGAAGCAGAGAGAAGAUUAGAUGCUGAGGGAAGGAAGGCAGGUUUGUCAUGUUGCUGUCCUCAGAAUGGGACAGGGAAAUGGCAGGGCUUAACAAGAGCAAUGGACAGCAGGGGCUCUUUUAGGGGAAAUAAAUCUAUUGGAGUUUUCCAAGAGAGAAUUCAGCAUGGCACAUUCAUUGAAAAAGUAACAGAAAAAAAGUUGUGUCCAGAACUCUCCCAAUUGUCCUUCUAGACACAAUAACCCCCAAACCUCCUUGCUUUCAGCUUUCUAUACCAAUGGGCACAUUAGAUGAUGUUUUGUGUCCUUUUAUUUAUAUUCUAUUACCCCACUCCAACCCCAACACACACACACACACACACACACACACACACCCCGUGCAGCCUCUAAUCCUCCCUACUGCCCCUAUCCUGUUGAUCUUUCUUCACUUAAAAAUUAUCAGCAAAGAAUUUAUUCAUUUGGGAGAAUUCCAGGCACUACAUUUAUGUUCAGUUCAAAUGAAAUGGGAUCCAGACUUUUCAAACCGUGCUGCUUUGCAGAUAAAACACAAAGGCAGGACCUCAUUACCUGGAGACCGGGCCCUUUCUCUUGCCUCCCGCCUUUUGUUUCUAGGCAAUUUUAAGCUUGUUUGGAAAGUCUCAUAACGGGGACAGAACUUUUUUUUUUUUACCAUGUCUAUUUCAGGAGGGUUUUGAGUUAAGAAUAAUGAAUAUAUCUCCAGACAGAUGGAAGAGUUUUACUAAAGCUAGAAAAGACACUUUUCCUAAUAACCUCUAUAGGCUGAUCCUAAUCCUCUCAUUGUUAAAAAUGGUCUACAAGAUUCUUAUUUAGGUGCCAAAUGUCUUUAUGAAAUCAUUAUAUUAACACACACACAAAAUUCUAUUACAAUGAGUUUCUCUGUAAGAUCAAAAGUUCUUUAUGGUCCUACUGAUAAAAAGGUGAAAUUCCAGGAAAGCCAAAAGUUUGGCCAAGUUUUUCAAAAUUUACUGCACUAUAACCAGAGGGUUUACUAGGUCCAAGCCAGGAAAAGGCCUAAGUUUUAUCAAAGCAGUAGUCCCUAACAAAAAUAAAAUUGUGCAAAAUAGAAAUAAGUUGUUGGCAACAUUGUAAUAUGAUGUGACCUGUAGAAAAAAACACAAUGGGCUUCUGUCUGAUACCCACUUCGAUUUUAAAAACUCAAGCGGCAAAUUCAAAAACAAACUGCACCAGCAAAUCCAAGCUUUGCAGGCUGUGAAAAGAGCUUAAAAGUGAAGAGAAGCAAAGUCUGGUAUGACUGUAUAUCAGAUUUUGAAAGUAAACCAAAAAAAUUUUUUUCGAAUGCAAAAUUAACGCAGAUUUGUUAAAGGGGAAAAUUUUUCUCAUAAGGAUAUGUGUUUUGGGUCCCAGACUUGAUUUUGCCUUCAUGAGGAGCUCAGUGGUAAAAGCUCAGUGUUGGGCUGUAGCUAGAAUCGUAUGGGGCCCAAUGGAUACUAGGGGAACCUAAAAAGAGAAGAAGACACCAAACUUGGAGCAUCUAAGGACGAUGGCCUGUUAAGGGGACUUGGAGGGCUAGCCUGACCAAGUCAGGAAAGUCAACAGGAGGGUCUAGGGGAAGCGGUGGACACAGUGAGACCGUGCGUGACUGAGAUCUUAGGCAGCAACAAGAGGCUGCAGCAGAGGUGGAAAGGAUGUGGCUGAUGUUAAAGAGAGACGGGGGAGCCUGCAAAGGGCUUGGCCCUAGAGAUAUACUUAAAAUCCUUUAGCCUUUCCAAGAUUAUUAACCCAAAUUACCUUUCUUGCUUAUUCCAG